rnacentral:rRNA from 1 species
UACAGAGGUCUCGAGCGUUAAUCGGAGUCACUGGGCUUAAAGGGUGCGUAGGCGGCGCCGCAAGUGCCUUGUGAAAUCCCACGGCUCAACCGUGGAAUUGCUCGGCAGACUGCGGCGCUUGAGGUCGGUAGGGGUCGCUGGAACUCUAGGUGGAGCGGUGAAAUGCGUAGAUAUCUAGAGGAACGCCAAAGGUGAAGACAGGCGACUGGGCCGAUUCUGACGCUGAGGCACGAAAGCGUGGGGAGCAAACGGG